rnacentral:rRNA from 1 species
CCUACGGGUGGCUGCAGUGGGGAAUAUUGGACAAUGGGCGAAAGCCUGAUCCAGCCAUGCCGCGUGUGUGAAGAAGGCCUUCGGGUUGUAAAGCACUUUCAGUGGGGAAGAAAGCCUUGGGGCUAAUACCCUCGAGGAAGGACAUCACCCACAGAAGAAGCACCGGCUAACUCCGUGCCAGCAGCCGCGGUAAUACGGAGGGUGCGAGCGUUAAUCGGAAUUACUGGGCGUAAAGCGCGCGUAGGCGGUCUGAUAAGCCGGUUGUGAAAGCCCCGGGCUCAACCUGGGAACGGCAUCCGGAACUGUCAGGCUAGAGUGCAGGAGAGGAAGGUAGAAUUCCCGGUGUAGCGGUGAAAUGCGUAGAGAUCGGGAGGAAUACCAGUGGCGAAGGCGGCCUUCUGGACUGACACUGACGCUGAGGUGCGAAAGCGUGGGUAGCAAACAGGAUUAGAUACCCCGGUAGC